AGUCAGGCUACAUCUGGAGACUGUCUUAAGAAGCUAAAGUGGUGUAAAUACAGAGAUUUAGCAAAUACAAGUCAUCCUACCAGUUCUGCUGUUUCUUAAUUUUGAGAGCUUACCAUGCCCAAAGGCAAGAUACUGCAUCAUGGCAGGUCUAGAGUCCUUGAGAGACUAAAAAAAGCAGACCCAUACUAAGAAAGAGCCCAGUGUGAGACUACACACUGUAGAGCCAACUGCACCAGAGUGAUGGUCUCCUCUUGCUGCAAUUCCUCCAAGCCAGGUGGUCUUGGUAGAGCUGCCUACGUUUGUGAGCAGACUCAACAACCUGUGUCCCAGGGGUCUGAAGACUGCAAGGAGUGACCAACAAGAGCACAUCUUGCAAAGUUGUUUAUUUUUUGGAAAGUAUAAAUGGAUAAAAAAGAAAAUCCACUCUGUGAUCGAAGAAACUCUGAGAGAAAUGGAAGAUAGCUAUGAAGAUGCUUUGGUAACCAUCCAUCUCUCCUAGUGAAGAAAGAUGUGAGAUAAAAGUCUCUGAUUUUCACAGCUUUCACCAAAGUAAUACACCAGGAAGUCAGAUUACAUUUUCUAGGUUGAAGUCUAGAAUGAAAUCAUCAUUAAAUUCAACACAGUUAUGUCAUUUCUACACCCUGAGUCCUGAUUCUCAAGAAAGACAAAAGAAAACCUAUAUAUGAUGUUUAUUUCUACAGUAUAUUUGGGGUUUUAUUAUUUCACACAAACUCUUCACCUUCAAUUAAGAGAUUUUCUGGGGCCUUGUUCAGAUUUAUUUAUUUAUUUAAUAAACUCAUUUGGAAGAACUGAAUAUCUGGAGAGGUAUCACCCUGUAUUUGUCACUGGUAUAAGCUGAGGUAGCAGGUGGAUAGAGUAGCAUUCUCCUAUUUUACCAAAGUCUGAAAUAAUCCUGAUGACCAAAAAUUAACAUGCUAAACUGACUUCAUGUCAACAAAUUCUCCUGUCAGUAUUGUUUUCUUCUAUAGUUCCUGUUAUAGAAUCGUUCUUGUGUAUCAGCUGGGCAAUAUUAUCUUUGCUUUCUUCAAUAUAAGUUUCUUCCCUAGAACAUCAACUUUAAAAACCUGAGUUACACAAAAAAGUUCAACAAAUAAAAUUACAGACUUGGAAGGAACUUUGGUUGGAAGAAACAGUGGAAGUUCGUUUAAUCUAUCCUUCUGCCUCAAUAGAGAAUCUUAGGUCACAGAGACAGAUGUUUGCAUAAUUGCCGACAAUAAAGGUCAGCAGCCUACCUCAGCUGUCCUGCAGUCCUUUGCAGUGUUUCAUUUUCUGUAUCAUUAGAAAGUUUUUCCUCAUGACUAGCCUUAGUAUAGCCUUGGUGUGGUGACAUAAACUGGAAUUAAGCAAUGAGUUCUCAUUGAAUGUCAGUGAGAGAUAGUUAUCUAAUUUCCCUGUAUAUUCCUCUAACUCCUAUAUAUAUAUAAUCAGAAACUUUUUAUUUGUGCAUAUUUUAAUAAGGAUUAUUACAGAGUUUAUUACAGAACAGAGACUCUCUUAAACUGCUUAAUUACAUCUAGAAUAUUUACAGUUGUCACAAUUAAGUAACUGAAAAUAAUCCACCAGACAACAAAGCAGUAGGUAUAAAGAGGUUCCAGUAGAGACAGGAUGGAGCAAUAGUUUCCUUUUAUAGUACUUGGAACAGAAGGCAAACACUUUGUCAUUUUGACACGUCAAACAGUCUUUGGGUAGCAAUCUCCAAAUGCAGAGGUGUCAAAUUAGCUGUGGGAGGUCUCCUGACUACAAGAUUUCAGUAAAAUAAUCAUGAUGCAUAACAGAGACUCACACAGGAGAAGAAUGUUUGGACCAGUUGACCUUUGAAGGUCCCCUGCAACCCAAACUAUUCUACCAUUCUAUGGUACGUUAAUUAGCUGUGCUUAUCCUCAGACUAUUUUUUUUCUGAAUCUGCGUUUAUGUCCCAUUGCACUGCUGCUUUUCCAUCAUCUAAUAUAGACUGUUUUACUACCAUAUUGUUCAUGAAGAAGCAACAAAAGAUCUUGGCAUCAAACAUUACACUGUGGUCUUAUUCCAUGUCGUCUUCACUAUCUUCACUAUUUAAAUUACUUGAAGCUAUAACAAACCCAUUCAAAUAGUUUAUCUGGUGCAGGGGAUUUCAGUAUAUAUAUAAUUACAAUUAAAGUCCAUUGUCAAUUCACAUUUUAUAUAUAGACAUAGGCUUUGCAUGCUUUUCCAAUUUGAAUGUGAAGAGCUCCAACAGACAUUAACAAUCUACAUCACAUGUUUCUCCAGAGCUUUAUGCUAUAUGUUUGAUUUUCCUAUUAUUCUUAUUAGUGUUGUACACCAUUUGAACUAUUGGAAUUUAUUCAUAUUAUGGACUUUAUGGAACUGCGGUUUGUAUAUUGCAAUACAGUCCUUGCCCUAAAGAUGUUUAAAACCACCUCAGUGCAAUGAGAUACAGUAUAACUAGAUUCUUCCUUUUGCUGUCAAAAUACUUAUGGUAAUUUUUCUACUUACUCUUUCAUAUGUUUCUAAAAACACCCUUUAAAAAUGCAA